GCCCCGCAGUUUCCAAAGUUGCCCCCGCCCUCGGCCCGCCCGGGCAGAAACGGAAACGCGCGGAGAGCUCCUCACCUCGUCGGUUCAUGGGCCGGACCCGGACGGCAACUUUUACCUUGAUUGUGAAAGCCUUGAAGGCUGAAGAAUUUGCAUCUUUGUCCCAAAGGCAAUGGGGAUUUAAUGAAUUGAACUUGGGGCAUUUCCUUAGGGUCAUGAAUUUGGCAACAGUCUAUCUAUCCAGAGUGGCCGCAGUCACCCAGAUGAGAGGGAGAAUGUUGAUGAAUUCCACCAAACAGUGCUGUCAUUGCUCACCAUCCUGUAAGUCCCUCUAGGAAGGAGGAUAUCUAGAACCGGAUGCAAACAUGACAAACAGGAGUAAUGAAAGUGAUGAAAGUAAUGCAGGGCACAGAGGCUGGCUCUGAGUCACACUCCCAGGUUCAGACUCAGCUCUGCUGAUUGUCAGAGGCAACCUUGUUCAAGACAAGGAUCCCACCUCUGCCUCCACUUCCUCAUCUCUGAGACGGUGAUCACCAAGGCUCUUGUCUGGCUGUGUCAACAACACAGAUUAAGUAAACAUCACCUGGUGUCAUCGUCCUUGUGGUUGACAGCGUCAUCAUCAUCUCUAUGGCUAUUGUCACGGCUGAUCCAGAACUCUCUCCGUGAGCUUAGAUCACUGGCAGCGGAUGUGACACUUCCACCUUCUUUAAGUGUCAUGCCCAAGGCUUGUCAAGUGGGAGACAAAGAGCAGCCUUGAAAAGGACCUCCAAGAGGGCAAGCUCCAUCAAUAUCCCUGGAGCCCCUCGGAAGAGCAGAUCACCCCAUGGAGCCACAAAUAAACCUCUUGUCCCUCUACAGCUGGCUUUUUAGGCCAGUUUGCCAGGGUACUUCUCUUGAAAGAAGGUCCCAGAAGACUAGAGGGAACCCCAACCUCAGACAUUUGCAAGCGGGAAUUCAAGUGGUCAUCCAUCCAAGAGAGAGUCGUAGCUCUUAAGUACAACAGGAAUUCUAACUGGACAGACCUCUUAUGAGAAUCUGGAGCUUUUGAAUUCACCCAUGCUUGGUCCCCACCCCCCAACCAUCCCUGUUUAUUUAAUUGAAUUAACCAGCAAAAAAUGGCUGAUAAAAGAACGCAAGGUUUUUCUCUAGCAAGAAGGUCUCUAGGAGAUGGACAGACAGUGGCCCAUUCUGUGGGCAGGGCACAGCAAGCGGCUCUUUGAGAUGGAGGCAUAUGUGGAGGGCUAAAGUCCCACUGCAGAGUUGGCCUCACCUGAAGAGGGACUCUUAUGGUUUGGAUGUGAGGUGUCCCCUUGAAGCUCAGGUAUGAGACAAUGCUGGAAGAUUUAGAAGAGAAAUGAUUGGAUUAUGAGAGUCUUAACCCAGUCAGUGAUUUCAUCCCCUGGUGGGGUUCACCGAGUGGUAACUGAAGGUGGGCAGGGUGUGGCUGGGGGAGGUGGGACCCUAGGAUGGGCCUUUGGGGUAUAUAUUUUGUAUCUUGAGAGUGGAGUCUCUUUCUGCCUCCUGAUCAUCAUGUGAGCUGCUUCUCUCUACCACAUUCUUCCUCAUGAUGUUGUCCCUCACCUCGAGCCCCAAGGAAUGGAGCCAGUGUCUGUGAACCUCUGAAACUGUGAGCCUUCAAACAAACUUGUCCUCCUCAACAAUUGUUCUGGUCAGAUCUUUUAGUAACAGCAGCGACUGGGUAAGCUACGGUAGGGCUUCCCUCCCAGCACAAACUGACCUGGACACUCUUCUCAACAGACCCACAGUCCCCAAAGCCCAUAUAACCAACCAACACAGCUGUGCGUGCUCAUCACUGGGACAGCCCUGAGCUAUGCACUUUAAGCCUAUGCUUCCUUAUCAAGAAGAGCUGGUUAAAUGACUUGACUUUAGAAAUUAGAAUGAGGGAGGCUCUAAAGAACUGGCAGACAACUGAUAACAAGCAUCCCAGGCACCCUGGAGCCAUUCAAUUUCUAUUCCAGUCAGAAGUAGGCUGCCAGGCUCACCUAAAAACUUACCAGUGUUGAAGUCUGCAAAGAAUCAAAGAGUAAUCCCAGAGCCGCAGAUACUUAAGUAAGAGGCUUUCUGUAAAUCUAGCUUAACAACUCUAUCAGUCAGUAUAGGAUAAGCUACCCCGUGGUAACCAACAAUCGGGGAACCCCCGUGGCUUACAGAAGCAAAGCUCUGGGCCUCACCUACAGGAUUUGUCCAUCACAGCCAGUCUGUGGCUCUGCUCAUCAUUUUCAUUCUGAGUCUCAGGCUGACAAAACAGCCCUUAGCUGGGACAAUGCUAGUUUUGUAGCAGAAGUUAAGAAGAGGUGGCAAAUCACAAUGGCUCUUUAAGUUUGGCUCGGAAAUGGCGCCUGACAAUUCUUGAUUUUCAUUGGACAAGGCAAGUCACAUGGUCAAGCCAACCAUCACUGGAGCAGAGAAUAAUAAAUCUCCCCUGGAGUGGGGCUCCAAACCAUCUAUCACAAUUAUAUUUAUUUUUCACAAUAGUUAACAGUAGAGAAUAUUCAUUAAACCUUGACUACUUACCAUCCACGGGCUCUAUUAUUUAAUUCUCACAAGAAUCCUAUAGGGUAAACACUGUUAUUACCAUCUUUCAUUAGAAUGAUUAGUAAAAAAUGAGGAGAGAAGAUAAAUAAAUUUUCCAAGGUCACAUACCUGGGAACUGAUGACCUUGGCAUUUGUGUGAA